UGAAAACCUUGAGCACUGAAGUUGGGGAUGGGUUCCAUGUGAACAGUAGUUGGUCGUGGGUCAGUCGGUCCUAAGCUUAUGAUGAAACAUGUGUUGAAUGUGUAUAAUAAUGUGUUAUCACUAUAAGCGAAAGGGAAUCAGGCUAACAUUCCUGAACCUGCACACCGGGAGCGCUGUCAACUGACAGCAACCGUGGCAACACAAGCGCGCUCAAAGACACCAAGGGAUAGGCUGGGAAGAGUUCUCUUUUCUUUUUAAGUCACUUGUACCCAUGGAAUGGAGUAGAUUUGAGAUAUGGGUAAGGGUGGCAUAAAGCUGCUCAUUUUAGAGUAGUUCAGUUGAUUCCCUUGGUCCUUGAAAAUUUGAGCGUGGCGUUUAUCUUGGUGGCAGUCCGUACUAGUAUCCGCAGCAGGUCUCCAAGGUGCGAAGCCUUUAGUGUCUAGAUUAAUGUAGGUAAGGGAAGUCGGCAAAAUAGUUCUGUAACUUUGGGAGAAGGGAUGGCUCUGAAGGUUGAUCCAGUCAGGUUGACAGUAUAAGUAUUUAUGACAUUGUGUUGUGGCUAGAUGGACCUCGUGUUUGUCUGGAUGAUGACCGAAGUUGUGUUUAUGGACAUUGUUAGCUGUUUCGGUUUAUUCCGAUGUGAUUGGAAAUUAUCAACUACUUCAGAACUGGCACGAACUGAGGGAAUCCGACUGUCUAAUUAAAACAAAGCAUUGUGAAGUCCAGUAAUUGGUUUUGACACAAUGUGAUUUCUGCCCAGUGCUCUGAAUGUCAAAGUGAAGAGAUUCUUUGAAGCGCGGGUAAACGGCGGGAGUAACUAUGACUCUCUUAUGGUAGCCAAAUGCCUCGUCAUCU
rnacentral:ncRNA from 1 species